AUACGUAGGGGGCGAGCGUUGUCCGGAAUGAUUGGGCGUAAAGGGCGCGUAGGCGGCCCGGUAAGUCUGGAGUGAAAGUCCUGUUUUUAAGAUGGGAAUUGCUUUGGAUACUGUCGGGCUUGAGUGCAGGAGAGGUAAGUGGAAUUCCCAGUGUAGCGGUGAAAUGCGUAGAUAUAAGGAAGAACACCAGUGGCGAAGGCGGUCUACUGGACAGUAACUGACGCUGAGGCGCGAAAGCGUGGGGAGCAAACAGGAUUAGAUACCCUGGUAGUCCACGCUGUAAACGAUGAAUACUAGGUGUGGGGGGACUGACCCCCUCCGUGCCGCAGUUAACACAAUAAGUAUUCCACCUGGGGAGUACGGCCGCAAGGUUGAAACUCAAAUGAAUUGACGGGG
rnacentral:rRNA from 1 species